UACGUAGGAGGCGAGCGUUAUCCGGAUUCACUGGGCGUAAAGCGCAUGUAGGCGGUUGGAUAAGUCCGUUGUUAAAGCCCCUGGCUCAACUGGGGGAGGUCAAUGGAGACUAUUCGACUUGAGGGCAACAGAGGCACAUGGAACUCCCGGUGUAGCGGUGGAAUGCGUAGAGAUCAGGAGGAACACCGGUGGCGAAGGCGGCAUCCUGGACCAAUAUUGACGCUGAGGAGCGAAAGCCAGGGGAGCAAACGGG
rnacentral:rRNA from 1 species